rnacentral:rRNA from 1 species
UACGGGAGGCAGCAGUGGGGAAUAUUGGACAAUGGGCGAAAGCCUGAUCCAGCCAUGCCGCAUGAGUGAAGAAGGCCUUCGGGUUGUAAAGCUCUUUUAGUGAGAAAGAUAAUGACGGUACUCACAGAAGAAGUCCUGGCUAACUCCGUGCCAGCAGCCGCGGUAAUACGGAGAGGGCUAGCGUUAUUCGGAAUUAUUGGGCGUAAAGAGCGCGUAGGCUGAUUAGUAAGUUAAAAGUGAAAUCCCAAAGCUUAACUUUGGAAUUGCUUUUUAAAACUGCUAGUCUAGAGAUUUGAAAGAGGAUAGAGGAAUUCCUAGUGUAGAGGUGAAAUUCGUAAAUAUUAGGAGGAACACCAGUGGCGAAGGCGUCUAUCUGGUUCAAAUCUGACGCUGAGGCGCGAAGGGCGUGGGGAGCGAAACAGGGAUUUAGAUACC